CCUACGGGUGGCAGCAGUGGGGAAUAUUGGACAAUGGGGGGAACCCUGAUCCAGCCAUGCCGCGUGUGUGAAGAAGGCCCUCGGGUUGUAAAGCACUUUCAGUGAGGAAGAACGCCUGGUGGUUAAUACCCAUCAGGAAAGACAUCACUCACAGAAGAAGCACCGGCUAACUCCGUGCCAGCAGCCGCGGUAAUACGGAGGGUGCGAGCGUUAAUCGGAAUUACUGGGCGUAAAGCGCGCGUAGGUGGCUUGAUAAGCCGGUUGUGAAAGCCCCGGGCUCAACCUGGGAACGGCAUCCGGAACUGUCAAGCUAGAGUGCAGGAGAGGAAGGUAGAAUUCCCGGUGUAGCGGUGAAAUGCGUAGAGAUCGGGAGGAAUACCAGUGGCGAAGGAGGCCUUCUGGACUGACACUGACACUGAGGUGCGAAAGCGUGGGUAGCAAACAGGAUUAGAUACCCCAGUAGUC
rnacentral:rRNA from 1 species